rnacentral:lncRNA from 1 species
AGCAUGGAUGAUUGUUGUACAAUCCGCAAAUCCUUAUUGAAGAGCAUCUUUUGUAUGAAUUUGAGUCUAGUGUCUUCUGGUAAGAAUUUGAUGCUAAGGUUGUCACUCUGAUUAGCGUGUAGAAGGUGAGCUUGAUUAUUUUAAUUCUUUUCCCAAGUGCUUGCUUGGAUUUAGUUCUUGUUGAAAGUCUUUUCUAGACAUUUUCGAAGUAAACUACUCUUUUAGUCCUGCUAAAGCCAUUUCAAUUAUUCUUGCCUUCUCGUUACCUGUUGUUUUGUAAAAUUGUGCUUGAUUAAAUGGCUCUGUAUGUCAUUCUCAAGAAACAAAUACCCAAGAUCUGUUUUUGAAGCACAACUUAUGCCAAGCUACGAAGUAAAUUGCAAUCCUCCCUUGUACCUCUUUAGUUGUUUUUCAAAACAUGGUGCUUGAUUAAAUUGGCACUGGUGCCAUGCUCAACAAACAAGUACGUACUGUACUUUUUAUUUUUUAUUAUUUUUUAAUUAUUUAGCAUGACAACUACUUAUACCUGCCAAUGAAAUAAAUUUCCGCCCUCCCAUAUACAAAGUUUUGAAGAGCAUCUGUGAUCCAGGCGUGCUACAAUGGAUUCCAUUUAGCAUGGGACCAUAAUCCUGUAGUAGUGCUUUCACAUUGGAAUGGAAACUAGGAAACCAACGCAGUAUGAAAGGGGUGGAGGGUUGAUAACUAGAUUUAGAACUCAUCAUACUACGAAAUGAAUUGGGGGUGAAAGUAGUAUGGAUAUUAUCUGUUCAGAUCUAUUUUCAUAUCCGAAUUAAUUUGAAUAGAAAUUUGAGAAUUCAUCAAUAUCCAUAUUCGUAUUCAUAUUUCUAAAAAAAUAGAUAUGGAUAUAGAUAGAUAACUAUCCUAUCCGUAUUCGAAUAUUCGAAUCUACGUAUAAUUCUGUAUAAUUUUAUAUAAUAUUUAUUAAUUUUAAAAAAUAUUUAAUUUUUUAAAAAAAUAUAUAAUCAUAUAAAUAUGUUAUUAAUUUGAUUUAUUAUCUAUUUAGUAAUAUUUUUAAUUUUGUAGUCAUAAAAUUUGAUUAUCUACGUUAUAUUUGUCAUUAUAUCCAUAUUUUUAAUAUCGAAAUUAUAUCUGUAUUCGUUUAAAAUAAAUAUGGAUAUUAAUUUUUACAUUCGAAUAAUAUUCGUAUUCGUAUUUUUCAGAAAAAUAAAUAUAAAUAUGGUUAUGUUGGUAUUCGAUCCAUAUCUGAUUCGAUUUUAGUCCUAAAAUGAAUCCACAUCUGAUGCUGGAGGAGGACCAGGGAAGAUUGGCAAAUGAAAUUCAUAAAGCCAGCUCUAAAUGUUUGAGGCAAUAUUUGAUGAUUAUGGUUAUGGUUCUCAACAGUGGUCUCUCCGGAGUUCUUAUUCGUUUUGAUUGUCUAAAUUCUUGGUGGGAUUUCUUGGAAGAAAAUCAUUAUGAUUUCCAAACAGUGGAAUCGAUGAUAAAUAAUCUAAAGGGUGCAUAUGAUCCGUUCUCCUUCAAUAUUAAUAUGGAAAGUACUAUAUGUACCUCGAAAUGCAAUUGAAUAGGUCGUUAACCAGGUCAUCCAGGUAGUAUAUGCUAGUUGUGUAAUAUUUAUCAGUCAAACAACGGUUCAAAUUGGUGUGUUAUACUUGAUCGGCCAAUCCUCCGGUUAAUUUUAUUUAAUGGGGUUGAAAUAAAGUUAGCUACAAGCUCUUUUUCUUUUCUCUCUUUACUUUCACCUUUUCCUCAUCUUACUCUCAAAAUUUAAACGAAACAGUUAAUAAUUCUAUGGGUAUCUGAUUAACGAGUGGUCGCUAAUGGUUUAAUCUAUUUACCUUUCUAGUUAACCAUUUCUUGUCCAAACGUAGCCUUGGUGAACAGCCGAAGUUAAACCUUUAAGCAUGUGGGCUAAAAACAGUAUUGGACUACAUGUAGUUGCCUGACCCGAUUAGUGAAGUUUUCUGCAAUAUUACUCGUCAUCAAAUGUGCAUGUCAGCUACAAUUGAUCACCAUGCGUAGGUAGCUUUAAUUUCAAUAGGAAAAUAUUUGUAACGUAUAUAACAUUUGCAGCCUUUUGAAAAUGCUUGCAAAACUUAUCUGCAUCGACGGUUACCAACUUUUUCUCUAUUCUUCUUUAUUUAGCUGCAUCAUUUUAAAGCGAGCUUGAUGAUUUUAUCCUCCGGCUAGCAGAGAUGGAGCCUGGGCUACUCAUG